UCCAGAUAUGCCUUGAUGACUAGGAAUC
rnacentral:sRNA from 1 species